rnacentral:ncRNA from 1 species
UCUGAAUAUCUUCAUAAUCACAAACCGUGUGCAUAAAGCCCCUGACAGGGCUUCACGGACUGACGUGUGACGGAACGCCACGGAUAUGACCGAUAGGGCAUUGAAGUAACAGAGCGUCUGGGAUGAUGGUAACUGAAUUUCGGGGAGUACGUAAGACACUUGGUACAACUCCAGAGCGUCAGGUGGGAUAGAAGGAUGAGGGAAAAGGCAUGGUGUUAGGGACUGUUCCUGUAUAAUAGACGACCACGGUGUGGGAAUAACCCGUGAAUAUCAUAAGGCUUUGCGGGCUUAUGGGGAUAGCGGGAAAUAUGCAGGCGGGAAAUGUGCGGCUGAGACGGGGGAAACUUCGGGUAUAAAGUCUGACACCUGUACACUGGCACAAGUCCGUACAAAUUUCUUAUUAUAGAGUGAAUAAUAAUAAAUCUGAAUGUUGUGCUGGUGCUGUGGGUAUAAAAGAAUCCCAUGCGUACUAGGCUGAACCGAAAGGUUCAGUUCGUAAGGAAGUGUAGGCGGUAGCUCCCCUAUGCUCAGACCUUGCGAUACGGUGGCUGAAAAUUCCUGUGUCCUUUGAAGAUACGCUGAAUAAAAGGCGUGUGGUUGUGGAGAUGUUCA